rnacentral:piRNA from 1 species
UGCGGGUUCAGGAGGUACCCAAACUGAAGGUA